GGUCUAGUAGCUCAGCUGAAUAGAGCGUCCCUCUCCUAAAGGGAAGGUCACGAGUUUGAAUCUCGUCUGGACCA
rnacentral:tRNA from 1 species